UAAGUUUGAUCUGUUUGUUUGUCAUUUUUGUAGUGAAACCAUUUUAAAAUAGAGACACAUAUUUUGCAGCUUCAGUGGUUGUAUGUUGUCCAAUUUUAGUGUUAAACAGGUUUUUUUCUUGCAUUUCUUUAUAUCGGCUUAAAUUUGUUGCAGUAAAACAACAGGUUUUAUUUUAGAAAACUUUCAAUUUUGUGUUAUUUGAAACAAUAAUUUGACCUGUUCAAAACAAAGAAAAUGUGUAGUGAAAGAUUUGUCAUAGUUUUUCAUUUAUGGUUAUGUGGUAGAAAAUUCACAAAACAAGGUAUUCUAAACAAUGUUAAGAACACAUAUUUUAUUAUUAUUAUUUAUUUCUUAGCAGACGCCCUUAUCCAGGGCAACUUACAAUUGUUACAAGAUAUCACAUUAUUUUUACAUCCAAUUACAUUAUUUUUACAUGCAAUUGCCCAUUAUACAGUUGGGUUUUUACUGGAGCAAUCUAGGUAAAGUACCUUGCUCAAGAGUACAGCAACAGUGUCCCCAACCGGGGAUUGAACCCACGACCCUACAGUCAAGAGUCCAGAGCCCUAACCACUACUCCACACUGCUGCCCUAGCCACACAAGUGUUUAAAUAAACACUCCCUUUAGUUAAAAUGCCUAGCCAGGUAACUUCUUAAUUAUUGUAUCUAUUUAAUUAAGGAUUCCCCUUUAAGAAGGCUGAACUCCCAUGAGCCUUUGUUCUUUUUUAAACAGGUAGAGGGUGGAAGGGAGGCAGGUUUUGUGUUCUGGGUUCCUCCAUUUUGUGUAUGGCGGUGUGGUUUGUGUGCAGGUUCUGAAUGGGUUAGAGUUGGCUUUCAGGAUUUUAUUUACAAGAAAAUUAUAUUAAAUAAGAACUAUACCUACCUUGGAGCAUCUCUUGGACAACUUGUUGCUGUUGGACUGCCACUGGAACUACAGAAUAAGCAUCAACAAACAAACAGUCGGGUCUGUGAGGAUGAGAAGGUCUCCACAGUCUGGAGUCUGGUCUCUGACAGGCUCAACAUACCUGUCAAUCAACAGGGACUCUUCUACAAAGGCAAGGCGCUGGCAGGUAGGCUGAACAGCACAGCACAGCACAGCUCACCCCUCCUCUCACCCCUCGCCUCACCCCGGGUCAGUGUGGCACAGCCUGCCUGCUCUUCUGAACAAACACUUCAGCUCUGCCGACGCAGUGAGAGUCUGGAGCAGCUACACGAGGUAAUGAAGUGACACUUUGAAUAUGGGGCCUGAUGAGAGAAAUAUCCUUUUCAUGUGGUUUUGGUUUUGCCGUUGUGAGCAGGUGUGGGAGACAGCACCGUGUCUGCAUGUGAAAUAACAAAGUCAUCGCAGUGGAGGGACUCUCUGAAGGCUGCUGUUUGUGGAUUUGUCUUGUAAUGUCUGUGCGGAUGAGAAGGUCUCCACAGUCUGGAGUCUGGUCUCUGACAGGCUCAACAUACCUGUCAAUCAACAGGGACUCCUCUACAAAGGCAAGGCGCUGGCAGGUAGGCUGAACAGCACAGCACAGCACAGCUCACCCCUCCUCUCACCCCUCGCCUCACCCCGGGUCAGUGUGGCACAGCCUGCCUGCUCUUCUGAACAAACACUUCAGCUCUGCCGACGCAGUGAGAGUCUGGAGCAGCAACACAAGGUAAUGAAGUGACACUUUGAAUAUGGGGCCUGAUGAGAGAAGUAUCCUUUUCAUGUGGUUUUGGUUUUGCCGUUGUGAGCAGGUGUGGGAGACAGCACCGUGUCUGCAUGUGAAAUAACAAAGUCAUCGCAGUGGAGGGACUCUCUGAAGGCUGCUGUUUGUGGAUUUGUCUUGUAAUGUCUGUGCGGAUGAGAAGGUCUCCACAGUCUGGAGUCUGGUCUCUGACAGGCUCAACAUACCUGUCAAUCAACAGGGACUCCUCUACAAAGGCAAGGCGCUGGCAGGUAGGCUGAACAGCACAGCACAGCACAGCUCACCCCUCCUCUCACCCCUCGCCUCACCCCGGGUCAGUGUGGCACAGCCUGCCUGCUCUUCUGAACAAACACUUCAGCUCUGCCGACGCAGUGAGAGUCUGGAGCAGCAACACAAGGUAAUGAAGUGACACUUUGAAUAUGGGGCCUGAUGAGAGAAAUAUCCUUUUCAUGUGGUUUUGGUUUUGCCGUUGUGAGCAGGUGUGGGAGACAGCACCGUGUCUGCAUGUGAAAUAACAAAGUCAUCGCAGUGGAGGGACUCUCUGAAGGCUGCUGUUUGUGGAUUUGUCUUGUAAUGUCUGUGCGGAUGAGAAGGUCUCCACAGUCUGGAGUCUGGUCUCUGACAGGCUCAACAUACCUGUCAAUCAACAGGGACUCCUCUACAAAGGCAAGGCGCUGGCAGGUAGGCUGAACAGCACAGCACAGCACAGCUCACCCCUCCUCUCACCCCUCGCCUCACCCCGGGUCAGUGUGGCACAGCCUGCCUGCUCUUCUGAACAAACACUUCAGCUCUGCCGACGCAGUGAGAGUCUGGAGCAGCAACACAAGGUAAUGAAGUGACACUUUGAAUAUGGGGCCUGAUGAGAGAAGUAUCCUUUUCAUGUGGUUUUGGUUUUGCCGUUGUGAGCAGGUGUGGGAGACAGCACCGUGUCUGCAUGUGAAAUAACAAAGUCAUCGCAGUGGAGGGACUCUCUGAAGGCUGCUGUUUGUGGAUUUGUCUUGUAAUGUCUGUGCGGAUGAGAAGGUCUCCACAGUCUGGAGUCUGGUCUCUGACAGGCUCAACAUACCUGUCAAUCAACAGGGACUCCUCUACAAAGGCAAGGCGCUGGCAGGUAGGCUGAACAGCACAGCACAGCACAGCUCACCCCUCCUCUCACCCCUCGCCUCACCCCGGGUCAGUGUGGCACAGCCUGCCUGCUCUUCUGAACAAACACUUCAGCUCUGCCGACGCAGUGAGAGUCUGGAGCAGCAACACAAGGUAAUGAAGUGACACUUUGAAUAUGGGGCCUGAUGAGAGAAAUAUCCUUUUCAUGUGGUUUUGGUUUUGCCGUUGUGAGCAGGUGUGGGAGACAGCACCGUGUCUGCAUGUGAAAUAACAAAGUCAUCGCAGUGGAGGGACUCUCUGAAGGCUGCUGUUUGUGGAUUUGUCUUGUAAUGUCUGUGCGGAUGAGAAGGUCUCCACAGUCUGGAGUCUGGUCUCUGACAGGCUCAACAUACCUGUCAAUCAACAGGGACUCCUCUACAAAGGCAAGGCGCUGGCAGGUAGGCUGAACAGCACAGCACAGCACAGCUCACCCCUCCUCUCACCCCUCGCCUCACCCCGGGUCAGUGUGGCACAGCCUGCCUGCUCUUCUGAACAAACACUUCAGCUCUGCCGACGCAGUGAGAGUCUGGAGCAGCAACACAAGGUAAUGAAGUGACACUUUGAAUAUGGGGCCUGAUGAGAGAAGUGUCCUUUUCAUGUGGUUUUGGUUUUGCCGUUGUGAGCAGGUGUGGGAGACAGCACCGUGUCUGCAUGUGAAAUAACAAAGUCAUCGCAGUGGAGGGACUCUCUGAAGGCUGCUGUUUGUGGAUUUGUCUUGUAAUGUGAGUGAUCUACUGUACUCUGAUGCCACUGUCUGUACGCACGCUGCACUGCAGGGGAGACACCGCUGGCAUUCACAGGGCAUGCUUGUUCAUUUAAAGCAUGCUGCACUGUAGGGGAGACACCGCUGGCAUUCACAGGGCAUGCUUGUUCAUUUAAAGCACACUGCACUGUAGGAGAGACACCGCUGGCAUUCACAGGGCAUGCUUGUUCAUUUAAAGCACACUGCACUGUAGGAGAGACACCGCUGGCAUUCACAGGGCAUGCUUGUUCAUUUAAAGCACUACUUUAAAGACCCAUAUGACUUCAUAGAAGGAAUUCACAAAUUUCAUCUCGUUACUUAACACACACCACCACAUAACAGCGAAGUAAACUUUUUAGACACCACCACUUACAAAGGACCACAUUUUUCACAAACACACCAACUAGACACCAAAGUAUAUUUUAAAGAAAGACACACUCUGUUUGAGGAGCCAAUUACCUAUGUCAAACCAGGAGCAUAUUUGAUCCAAUCAAAAGUGAUUGAAGGUAAUAAAACAUGUUAUUUUAAAAUACUGCGUGGACACAGCAGUUCCACUUAGUCACCACUGUGUGGCAGCAUUGAUACUGAAAUAUUUAACAGUUUUGCAGUGCAGGGAAAUAAAUGGCACCUCGUAUUUUAUCAUGUUUGACGUCUACUGCCUUAAAUAUUUAAACUGGGGUGGGGAAUAACUACAGCUUGAUUUGCCUGAGGCUUGUUAACCACAAUCCCAGGGGUUUGAUUUCAGAUGCAAGGAAAAAAAACAAAAAUAAAAAAUAGUCUUGCCUAAUGAAUAUUUACACUAGAAUACAGAAUUAACCAAACAAAUAUGAGAAACUUUAUUGGAAUAUAAAUACAAAUUUAUUACAAAAAGCUAGGAGCAGUGUACAUGUUAUGAUAUUAAAAGCAGACACAUCGCGGCUCCAGGAUGCAUCAGUACCCUUGGGGAUGGGAACCUCUGACCUAUACCGAUUUCAGAAAGCUUGAUUAUACCCUUGACCUAUCACCAUGGAAACAGUAGCUGCAAGUGGCCAUGUUUGUUGUUUGACCUGCUCUGCAGUUUCAGCACUCGCUCGCCCGGGCUGGUAAAAAAAAAAAAAAAUUGAUUACAAAUAAAACCUCCCCACAAAAAUUUGCAAAAUGGUGUUUCAGUUCUGGGCCUCUCACUCAAGCACACCCUGUCCCGCAGGGGCUGGGAACCUUGAAUUUAUUCCACUUCUGAACAUUGAUUUGAACCCAGGCCUACAAUGCAACUAGAUGCCACCCUACCCCAUAUACUUAAGUUGAUGUACAUGUCUGUUAUACCAAUAUUAUGAAAGUUAAAUUUGGAUAAAAACUAAAAUUUAAAUAACCAACUCUGUCAUUAUUACAACACUUUGAAACUCCUGAUUGGAUUACUACGUCUUUUCAGCCAAUACAAUAAAAUGCAUUGCCUUAAAAUACUAGUGACAUUUUGCGACUACAGGAAACUGACACGGAAAUCUGUUUUACCUGGAGAUGAAAGCAGGUGCUCGGUUGUGGCUGCAGUGCCAUUGGCCCUUUUCCUGCAAAAAAAAUAAAUAAACAAAAUAGAUUGUACAUCAACCCCCCCCCCCCACACACCUUUUUUCUACAAGUUCUCCCCGUUAGCAAGAGCAGAUUCAAUGGUAAAGACAGCAUAUUUGAAACGUAUUGGAGAUGCAUGACAAAUACAUGGUUGGCAGGCGUUUCUGUAUCCAAAAUGUUUCUUGUAUAGCUAUAGAAAGAAUGGCAUGGGCCAGUUACAACAUAGCAUUCACAUUCACUACAUAAUUUUACCAUCCAAUAGAAGCUUGGUCACUUAUAAAAUAGAAGCACAAAAAGAAAUGCGUUCACAAGAGUGGAUUAAAUAGAUGUGUUAAAUUGGCACCAGUACUGCUUUCGUUGCGAGGGUACUUUGCACACACAAGGACACUAUACAACAUAAUACACAACCUAAUUAUUUAGAAGGCAACACAAAGUUAAUACCUGUUGUCUUGUUUGAAUUUGCACCUGCAAUGGUUACCUGCAAAAGAGGAGCAUAGAACCAGGUUACUAAACUCACUUGUUAAUGCGUGCAAAAACGCAUUGCACUGUCCAUUACAACACAAGAAAGUUUACAAACAAGGAGGCAUUUCAGCCCAUCUUGGUUGUUAGGAGCUCAUUCAGUUGCAUCUUUGCCCUUUAAUCUAAAACAAUAUGCAGGUGUCCCCCUUGCAGUACUUACUGAAGAGGAUGCAGAUGCCAAUGAGACAGAGGACAGCAGCCAUGAUCAGUCCUCCCACACGCAGCUGACUGUAGUCUGGAGUUGAAACAAAAAAAAAAAAAAGUCUAAAACCACCUGAAAAUAUGAACGCACCCAUCUGACGAGUUUGUGAACUGAGGUAGUCUGUCUUUGUUUACAUAUAUUACAGGCGCCACAAAUCAGUUUAUAUUUUCUACAAGUAUCUAUGGAUGGGACCCCCCGCCUUUAUGCGAGAACUGAAAUGUUUAAGUGUCAUUUAGAGAUUAAAUUAUUAUGUUUAUAAUAUCAAAAGUAUGCGAUCAGCUAGAAAGAUAGUGAUCUAUGAAAAGGAGCAGACUUACCAUAUGUAAAGGGGUCCGUUUUCUCUGCUGAAAAAAGAAUUAUACAUGAUAAAACCUGGCUUACUUGCAGUACCACAAUAUACAUCUUUAACAAUUUCACUGAACAGUUGUAAGACGUUAUAUUGUAUUAAUUGUGACCAUUGUACAAUUCUCUUGAAGGAAUAAAUCCUUAAUUCUCUCCCCCUGUAAUCUCACACACUGUCAAGAGCCUGAUCUGAAGAUUUUUCAAAUCAAUAGAGUCCCAUAAGGUUAAACCUACAGUAUUGUUUAAGAUUUGUCUGUGCAGUUCAUAUGUGGUUACGUUCUGUACUCUGUAUCAUUGGUUUUUCCUCCGUUCCGGAAUUAAACUUUAUUGGAAAUCACAUCAAGACGACUGGAAUUAUGUUUGAGAAAUAAA